GACGAACGCUGGCGGCGUGCUUAACACAUGCAAGUCGAACGGAAAGGCCCUGCUUGCAGGGUGCUCGAGUGGCGAACGGGUGAGUAACACGUGGGUGAUCUGCCCCUUACUUUGGGAUAAGCCUGGGAAACUGGGUCUAAUACUGGAUAGGACCAUGCUGUAGGUGGUGUGGUGGAAAGAUUAGUUUCGGUAAGGGAUGAGCUCGCGGCCUAUCAGCUUGUUGGUGGGGUAAUGGCCUACCAAGGCGUCGACGGGUAGCCGGCCUGAGAGGGUGGACGGCCACAUUGGGACUGAGAUACGGCCCAGGCUCCUACGGGAGGCAGCAGUGGGGAAUAUUGCACAAUGGGCGCCAGCCUGAUGCAGCGACGCCGCGUGGGGGAUGACGGCUUUCGGGUUGUAAACUCCUUUCGGCCAUGACGAAGCCUUCGGGUGACGGUAGUGGUAGAAGAAGCACCGGCUAACUACGUG
rnacentral:rRNA from 1 species